rnacentral:sRNA from 1 species
UGAAGGUGAGUUUAGCAUCUACCGUGAGC